GACGAACGCUGGCGGCGUGCUUAACACAUGCAAGUCGAACGAAGAGCGAUGGAAGCUUGCUUCUAUCAAUCUUAGUGGCGAACGGGUGAGUAACGCGUAAUCAACCUGCCCUUCAGAGGGGGACAACAGUUGGAAACGACUGCUAAUACCGCAUACGAUCUGACCUCGGCAUCGAGGAUAGAUGAAAGGUGGCCUCUAUUUAUAAGCUAUCACUGAAGGAGGGGAUUGCGUCUGAUUGGCUAGUUGGAGGGGUAACGGCCCACCAAGGCGAUGAUCAGUAGCCGGUCUGAGAGGAUGAACGGCCACAUUGGGACUGAGACACGGCCCAGACUCCUACGGGAGGCAGCAGUGGGGAAUCUUCCGCAAUGGACGAAAGUCUGACGGAGCAACGCCGCGUGAGUGAUGACGGCCUUCGGGUUGUAAAGCUCUGUUAAUCGGGACGAAAGGCCUUCUUGCGAAUAGUUAGAAGGAUUGA
rnacentral:rRNA from 1 species